rnacentral:pre_miRNA from 1 species
AAUUAAACAAGGUAUUGGCGUGCCUCAAUUUGAAGACAUGGUUAACAUAAAAUUACCAACCAUGUAAUUUGAUUGAGCCGCGUCAAUAUCUCGUGCUUAUCU